GAGUCUUUGACGCAGUUGCGCCCGAGGCCACUCGGCCGAGGGCACGCCUGCCUGGGCGUCACGCCAAAACACGCUCCCAACCACUCUCAACGGGAAUCGGGAUGCGGCAUCUGGUCCCUCGUCUCUCAAGGGACGGUGGACCGAAGAUUGGGCUGCCGGCGUACCGCGCCGGACACAGCGCAUGGUGGGCGUCCUCGCUUUAUCAAUGCAGUGCAUCCGGCGCGCAGCUGGCAUUAUGGCCUUUGAACGACCCAACAAACGAAGCGCACGUCGCUUCGACCGCGACCCCAGGUCAGGCGGGACUACCCGCUGAGUUUAAGCAUAUAAAUAAGCGGAGGAGAAGAAACUUACAAGGAUUCCCCUAGUAACGGCGAGCGAACCGGGAGCAGCCCAGCUUGAGAAUCGGGCGGCUGUGCCGUCCGAAUUGU
rnacentral:rRNA from 1 species